UACUUGGGCUGAAAGUUGUGCCUUUGUAACCGACGUCUUUAUUGACGCAGCGACAGUAUUUUCUUUGGGAACACUAUGGCCACAGCGAAGGCAAGCUGAAUUGGACUUGACAGUGCAUCGAUUGUGCAACAAGUCACAAAUAUUGAAAGAGAAUGGUUUCAAAGAUGAAAACGAAGCGUGGAGAUACGUUCUUUUAACGUUACAAGAUAUUGCCAUACUUCCAAAUUUGUCUGACCCACGAGUAAACACAGCCCAAUGUGUGGUAGUUGGUCAUGAAGGAGAUGAUGAACAACCAAUUGAAACUCCUGCAGACUGGUACAAUUGGAGAGGCUGCAAGAUAGCUGUUGCUUCUAUCCCAUUUGCAAUUGCCAUUUACUGGUUUGCAAAAAUAUUGUUUGAUAAGCCAGUCAACAGUUUGUUGUCAAAAACAUCUUUAGUUCUAACCUUGAUUUGUUUCAUAUUGAUGAUUGUUGAAUUUAUAUGUUACCUGAUUUUAUUUAUCAUUUCUAAAACACAUGUCUGUCAUUCAUGGCCCAUCAUCCUUUAUAUUUUAUCAUGCACCAUAUUCUUGAUUAUUCCUCCAAUCUUCAACAUUGAAUGCAUACAAAAUAUAUGUGAAGGAAAUCCAAGUGAAGACCAUGCCAAUCUAACUGAAGGCCAGAAUAAAAAUAUGCAUGACUGCUGCAAGUGUGAAAAACUAAUGAAUUGGGUGCAUGAAUGCAUUAAUAAAUGCACAAAAUGUGAAACACAAUGUAAAUGGAAAUUAAGUUAUGUAUCGAAUUUUAUGCUUGCAUGCACUUACCAGAUUGUUUACCAUUUGUUGUGGGUAUUGUGUGGUGGAAUACCAGCUGAUCCAUCCUGGGCUCUACCAUUGUUUUUAUGUGAAUGUGUUUUUGUUGUGGCAGUUUUCUCAACAAUAUAUUCUUGCUGUGAGAAUGAAAAACUCCUAGGUCACCCACUGUUCAGUGUAUUUGCUGCAUGCGUGGUUAUUGUCACGAUUGUGCUUUCAUUUUAUGGAUCUAGAGUUGAUGAGCAAAUAGGAAAUGUUUUAGUUAUUGCAAUUACAGCUGUAUUGCUGUGGUUUUAUAAGUAUUCUAGGGCAUUCAAUAGGUCACCGUAAAAAAAAGGUCACAGAAGGGAUCAGAAGUGGCCCUGAAAACAAUAUUCAUUAAGCCACUAUAAUUGUACGUUUGCAUGGUAGUCAUAUGUAAAUAUCUUAUCAAAAUCUUUUUUAAUGUUGUAUCUUUAGAGAAUAACUUGAUAGCUGUUCCUUUACUGAUCAUGUGUAAUCAAUUGUGAUUUUAUUCCUAAAAUAAAUUCCCUAAGAAUCCUUAA